UACGUAGGGGGCAAGCGUUGUCCGGAUUUAUUGGGCGUAAAGAGCGUGUAGGCGGCCAUACAGGUCAGCUGUGAAAACUCGAGGCUCAACCUCGAGACGUCGGUUGAAACCGUAUGGCUAGAGUCCGGAAGAGGAGAGUGGAAUUCCCGGUGUAGCGGUGAAAUGCGCAGAUAUCGGGAAGAACACCCGUGGCGAAGGCGGCUCUCUGGGACGGUACUGACGCUGAGGCGCGACAGCGUGGGGAGCAAACAGG
rnacentral:rRNA from 1 species